rnacentral:rRNA from 1 species
ACUUUAAUUGAAGAGUUUGAUCAUGGCUCAGAUUGAACGCUGGCGGCAGGCCUAACACAUGCAAGUCGAGCGGUAACAUUUCAAAAGCUUGCUUUUGAAGAUGACGAGCGGCGGACGGGUGAGUAAUGCCUGGGAAUUUGCCCAUUUGUGGGGGAUAACAGUUGGAAACGACUGCUAAUAC